UUGUGCUACCAUAAGCACGUGGUUGACCAUAGUUCAAUAUUAAAGUGUGGCUGUCUUACUACAUCAGCAUUUCAUAAACCAGCAUUAAGCAGAAUUUAAAGAAUCUGGCCCAGAAAAUAGCAUCAGUAGAGUACUUUGGUUAUCUGGCAUUACAUCACUUUAGAGAGUCAAAGCAUCUGGUGGUAUCAGCUCUUGCCAGCUGAGCUGGCCAAAGGAGUAAAAGUCCUGUGAGUACAGAACAGGAUCCUCUGAACCUAGCUAGAAUAGCUCAAAGGAAUUGGAAUAAAGAAAAUUUCUCCUUUGUGAUGUUUGUAUAGACACGUAGUGCGUGCACACACACACGAAUCUCAGUGCUUUACUAAAAAAGUCUUUAUAAGGAACUGAUGACUGAACCCAGAAUAAAUGCGGGAACUGGAGCUUAGAUCCGUUGAUGAACAUGCUGUAAAAGGAUUGUCCUCUCAACACUGGAACUCCAUUUCCUGAAGGAACUGAAGAGUGUGAACCUGCUGAUCUGUGAUACACUGGUGCCCUUGCCGGACCACAUAACGAUGGUGGAAUAUCGUGUGACAACGCCACCAGACCUGGGAGGUGUUGACCUAAGGGUGUAACAGGGUGGAAAGGCAAAGGGAGAGGUGACAUGGUCCCCACCUUCUUCUGGGGCACCGGUGGUACGAGAGCAAUGGUGGUGUCUCCCUGAAAU